GCGCACGCGCGUGAGGGAUGUCGCGGGAUCUCUAUGAAGCACCAGAAUUAUCAGUGAAGAAUAUAUUAAAUGGCUCACGGGCUACUGUAAAGCAUAUUUCUAUCGCUUGAGAGUAAAACUGCUAGAACCAGUUCCUGUUUCUACAACAAGGUGUUCCUUUAGAGUCAAUGAGAACACACAAAACCUACAAAUUCAUGCAGGGGACAUCCUGAAGUUCUUGAAAAAGAAGAAACCUGAAGAUGCCUUCUGUGUUGUGGGAAUAACAAUGAUUGAUCUUUACCCAAGAGACUUGUGGAAUUUUGUCUUUGGACAGGCCUCUUUGACAGAUGGCACUGGUGAGGUGGAUUGAUGAUGAAUCUUCUGGCACACCUGGAGCAACUCCAGAACACAGUCGUGAGGAUAAUGGGAAUUUACUGAAACCCGUGGAAGGAAGCCUUUAAGGAAUGGAAAGAGUGGAUAAUAAAAUGCCUGACUGUUCUCCAAAAAUAAGGACCUUCAAAUAGGAGUGAUUGAAAUAAAUGACUACUUGCAUGUUAUGCUUUCAUUUGGGUGGAAUACUUCAUCAGAAUAAACUAUUGAUCUUGUGCUGUGUCAAAGUAACAGACUAGAACCUUCUUUCAAGUACCUGAAUUGAAAUGAAACUCAUUUUGAAUAAUAAAAACUCUAGAAACUCUUUAUCUUCUCAUCUUACUGGCCUGGUCUGUGGCAGCAAGCACAUUAUUUCCAUUCCCCAAAUAUGUUUAGGUCUCCCAAGAAAGCUGGGACUGGCGGUAAUGAGCAAGUAAAUAACUUGAAAAAGAACUGUAGAUGCCCCAAGGAACCAACCAACAUAAUUUCCAGGGGGUGAUUUUGUUUUUAGAAGAGCUGCUCCCCUCUGUUAGGGCCAGCCAAGUCACAUUUUUGGACGUCCGUGGACUCUGAUCACCACAGCCCUCCUCUUCCGUGAGCCUUCCUUACUCUCUCGAGUGCAUUAGCUCAUUUUUUUUCUUUUGCUGGUUGUCACCUUAUUCCUGUUUUAGUUUUUAGCAGCUUAAAAUACGACCUCUCAGGAAUAUUUGCAAGUGAAAAUAACAAUGGUCCUUACACUACCACAACAUUUGGUGGUGGGAGUUCCGUUGCAGGUCUCAGCUAUAACAUAGUCAUUUAUGAGGGAUCUUACAAAUAGUGUGUAAUGGUAUUUAUAUUUGUGAGUGUUACACUUUCUCUAUAGACUUAGAGCAGCUUUCAGGUUUAUUUCAGUAAUAAUGUCUUUCUCACCUUCUCACAUUGUGAAGUGUUUACCUGAGUCAGGGAGAGAGUUUAAUGGGGUUAUCUGUCGGGGUGCCAUGAAUGCUGAUGAUGGUCUGCAGGUUGUGAACAUCAGCCCCAUUGCUACAGGGGUGGACAGGUGGAAAAGCUCAGACUUGACAAACCACCUCUGCUAGAUAGAUGUGUCUUGGAAAUCCAGAAAUUACAGUGAAUAUUUUAUGGAAUGCCAGUGAGCAGACAGCAUUUCCCACUUUCCUAUCUUACCUUGAGGGUAAGACUUAAAGGUAUUUUUUUUUCUUGUAAUUUGAAGCCUAAAUUCUUUGAUUGUUUGAUGUAUGCAAUAUGAUGUAAGGCACAUUUUAUACCCCUAGUCAGUGGUUUCCCUUGGAUUCAUUCUCCUACUUGAUUGAACCCAUUUAAGUCAUUUUAGGAAAUGGUGGUUUGCUAUUAAAAUUAAUUGGAGAGAAUACUUGGUCAUUCUGUUAGCAAAAAGAGACUGAUGGAGCAUGGUGUUUUAUGGAUUCUGUUACAGGGCUUAUUCCUCCUUGAAUAAUGUGCUUUAAAAAUUAUUGUCCAUUCGAUUACAUUUUCUUUUAUUUUCCUACAAUGUAAGCACGGUUUUAGUCCUGUAGGUCAGCCUUUCUCACAAACUCUUUUGAACUAAGAUUUGCCUAGGUGAAUAAAUUGGGGAUGACGGUUGUCUGGAGAAGAUAUAAGGUCCAUUUGUGAAUACUCUGCACUAUGAGACCAGGAGAAAAAUCAUCUAAGAAAUCGUUCACUCUUGCUAAAAACUGAACUAAAUUUUAUAUGAUGCAUUUAUUCAGCAAUCAUAAGUGCUGUGCAUAACUAUUGUACAUAUUUUUGGACAAUUUCUUAGGGUUCAGCUUAAAAAUAUAAUUUGCCUACUGCAACU
rnacentral:lncRNA from 10 species